UACGUAGGUGGCAAGCGUUGUCCGGAUUUACUGGGCGUAAGGGAUGCGUAGGCGGACAUUUAAGUCAGAUGUGAAAUACCCGAGCUUAACUUGGGUGCUGCAUUUGAAACUGGGUGUCUAGGGUGCAGGAGAGGUAAGUGGAAUUCCUAGUGUAGCGGUGAAAUGCGUAGAGAUUAGGAAGAACACCAGUGGCGAAGGCGACUUACUGGACUGUAACUGACGCUGAGGCAUGAAAGCGUGGGGAGCAAACAGG
rnacentral:rRNA from 1 species